CUGUGGAUUGCAGGCUUGGCCUUCCCAGCGUGCCAGAAAGCUCAGGACCUUUACGUUUCCUUCCCUUACAGCACAGCACUCUGGAAGCGGGAGAACCUUGCAAGCAUUUGAUGAUGUCUCUUCAGGACCUCACGGUGUAAUUGGAGUGAUUCUCUGGAACACUGCUGGGCAGCAAUAAGGAUCCCGAUUUCUGUUUCAAUCUCCUAGAAUAGCACAGAGAAAAUCACUGCAAGGUGGGAGUUACUAAAGGAACCCAAAGGAACUGGAAGCUGCUGAACAUCAAGGACAUCUGGUUAUAUCUGCUUCCUUUGGCUGCCUCUGUCCCACUGUCUACCACAAUAAAGAUGGGAUUUAGUGAUAACUACUUCUAACAUGAACAGAAAUAGUUGAUUGUAAAAACAAACCCAAUGAAAUAUUCAGUAAUAAAAUGGUCAAGUCACUAAAUAAUGCAUCCAGCUGUCUCUAGUGCUUGACCUUUGCAAAAUUC